rnacentral:rRNA from 1 species
UACGAAGGGGGCUAGCGCUGCUCGGAAUCACUGGGCGUAAAGGGUGCGUAGGCGGGUCUUUAAGUCAGGGGUGAAAUCCUGGAGCUCAACUCCAGAACUGCCUUUGAUACUGAAAAUCUUGAGUUCGGGAGAGGUGAGUGGAACUGCGAGUGUAGAGGUGAAAUUCGUAGAUAUUCGCAAGAACACCAGUGGCGAAGGCGGCUCACUGGCCCGAUACUGACGCUGAUGCACGAAAGCGUGGGGAGCAAACAGG